AUUGAACGCUGGCGGCAGGCCUAACACAUGCAAGUCGAACGGUAACAGGAAGCAGCUUGCUGCUUCGCUGACGAGUGGCGGACGUGUGAGUAAUGUCUGGGAAGCUGCCUGAUGGAGGGGGAUAACUACUGGAAACGGUAGCUAAUACCGCAUAAUGUCGCAAGACCAAAGAGGGGGACCUUCGGGCCUCUUGCCAUCGGAUUUGCCCAGAUGGGAUUAGCUUGUUGGUGGGGUAACGGCUCACCAAGGCGACGAUCCCUAGCUGGUCUGAGAGGAUGACCAGCCACACUGGAACUGAGACACGGACCAGACUCCUACGGGAGGCAGCAGCGGGGAAUAUUGCACAAUGGGCGCAAGCCUGAUGCAGCCAUGCCGCGUGUAUGAAGAAGGCCUUCGGGUUGUAAAGUACUUUCAGCGGGGAGGAAGGGAGUAAAGUUAAUACCUUUGCUCAUUGACGUUACCCGAAGAAGAAGCACCGGCUAACUCCGUG
rnacentral:rRNA from 1 species